rnacentral:rRNA from 1 species
UACAGAGGUGCCCGAGCGUUGUUCGGAUUCACUGGGCGUAAAGGGUGCGUAGGUGGCGAGUAAGUCGGAUGUGAAAGCUCGAGCUCAACCUCGAAAUGGCAUUGGAAACUACCUUGCUCGAGGGUUGGAGGGGGGUACGUGGAAUACAUUGGUGUAGGCAAGUGAAAUGCGUAGAUAUCAAAGUGGAACACCAGGUGGCGAAGGCGAGUCCCUGGACAACUCCUGACACUGAGGCACGAAAGCUAGGGGAGCAAAACAGG